AAAAGUUUGCUAGUGGAUCACUAGGGAUAAUAAUGAAAGGAGCUACUCCCAUUUUCACCCUCUUAAUUCCCAGACCCAUGAAUCCUGGCUAUAGGAGGAAAAGCACCAUCUAUAUUAUUCUCUGAAUCAAAGCAUAUACUGCAUCCUGGAGGACACUGCUUCAACUGCAUAAGACUUUCUGAAACAAAUUUGUUCAUUCAGCGUCCCAGAAGAUGGUCCCAGAGGAGUAAGCAAUCAGUCAUCCACUACCAAUCAGAAGUGGUGGUCAGUUGAGAAACGGAAUCACAAACCAAGGAAAGCAGGCAGCCUCUAGAAGCUGAAACUUACAAGGAAAUGGAUUCUCCCAUAGAGGCUCUGGAAGGAACACAGCCCUGAUGGCACCUGACUUUAGUUCGCUGAGACCCAUGUUGGACUUUUGACCUUCAGACUAUAAAACAAUAAAUGUGUGUUCCUUUACGUCACCAGGUUUGUGGCAAUUUGUUACAGCAGGAAUAGGAAACUCAUUUAAUACCUUAUGAAACUUAAGGCACAGCAGAAGAGCAAAAUCAAUGCUUAUGUUAAAAUUUAUUUCAGCACCAAAAUCCAGUGAUUGUAUUUUGCCUCAUAUUUUUUGUGGGAGUAUAUUUGGGAAGUUUCACAUUGCUAUAAAAAUUCUACAGGCUGUAUUUUAUGAUGAUCUUGGAUUAUAAAUUAAAAAUGAAAGCUGAUUAUAUAAUGAGGCUGCACACCAAGUGAUGUGAUGUCAGUGGGGAUAGGAACCAUAUUCAUUUUGUUCACUACGCUAUAUCUAGUACCUAGAUAUCUAGAGUGUUGGGCACAUGGUAAGUGCUCAGUAAAUAUGCUUGGAAUGAACUGAAUAAGUGAAAUCAGAUUCUUAAACAUUCUUCUGAAAUAAACUACAUGGAUGCCCACGCACAGGUAAUUACUGUGCUCUCUCGAUUAGUGCACAUGAUAAAAGCAGGCUUUUCUUGUACCGCCAAAGAUGUAGACAAAUUCCAGCUCUCUGGGCCUUUUUGUGAUAAUACACAAAUACAGGAAUAAAUGAUAAAAAAACGUUGUACUAAAGAAAAGAAAUUCACAGUAGUGAAAGAAUAAACCCUUCAAAAGGGCAAUUACAAACAAGUGAUCCAGAACUCAGCAGCUUUUCUCAAGCUGUGAGAUCCGCUCCUUUAGCACGAUAUAGCCAUUCAUCAUUUCCGCCAUUUAAUGCUACUGAAGCAGUUUAUAGUGUAGACAUGCUGUGGUAGGCUCACCGAGGGGGCCAGCGUCUCUCUCCUUCAGGUGGAUGAGCUCCAGUGCUGAGAAACGGACUAUGGCUUCCAGGUUAUUCCCACUCCAAUGCCUCAUUGACUACUUGGAGAACCUUGCUUUCAGUCAAUUGCAUGAGUUAAGUAAAGCUAUUUGAGAAGAGGCACUUUUCUGGGACUCUUAUUAAAUAGAAUAUGAUGGAAAAUCAAGAAGUAAAUGGAGAAAAAGAUUUUCUCAUAAAAGAUGUUAUGGAAUCUAUUGGAUAUUCAUUCAUUUCCUCCUAAUUUUAGACAUAAUACCAAUAAGCUACUUACCAGUAUCCAGCAUAGAUAAGAAGUAGUGAAUUAGCAGCAGCAAGAUGGCCCUGCACACUAACAA